GCGGCUGUGGCGGAACUGGUAGACGCGCAAGGUUGAGGGCCUUGUGGGCUGAAUAAGCCCGUGGAGGUUCGACUCCUCUCAGCCGCA
rnacentral:tRNA from 4 species